rfam:Triticum aestivum genome assembly, contig: Triticum_aestivum_CS42_TGACv1_scaffold_223537_3B
AACAUACUCCCUCCGCCCGGAAUUACUUGUCGCAACAUAUUUUUAGUUCUAGAUACAUCCAUUUCUAUCCAUUUCUGCGACAAGUAAUUCGGGACGGAGGGAGUACUUG